rnacentral:tRNA from 1 species
GGGAAGGUGGCUCAGUGGUAGAGUGCUUGCCUUGCAUGCAUGAGGCCCUGGGUGCAAUUCCUCAGCCCCA